ACCAGACCCACAUGAGACCUCUAUCAGCAGAACUGCUGGUGAAAAUGUGAGGAAUGUCUCUGUCCUUCCCUGACUCAUCAGACCUCAGGAUGACCUUCCUUCCUGACACAGCCCUCCUGCGCAAGUAACUCACCAUCUUCCUGUGCCCAGCUACCACCAGACACCUGCAGGUGAGCUCACUGCAAGCUUGGCGUCGUGGUGCUGCGCACAGCCCUCUUCAGCACACAGUGUCAGCACCGUCCUAUAAAAUCUCCAGCCAGCCUUUGUUUCUUUGCAGUCGGCAUCUCUCAUGCAGGCUGCCCUGUCUCCUUGCAACCUAUUUUUCUACUUUCUCCAAUAAAUCAGCCUUUUUCUGCCUA